UUGAAAUUCGGGGAUCAAUAUGUUGGUCGUGCCUUGGUACGUACUGGCGUCAUUGGUUUCUACCUUCUGAAGAACCCUCGAUGUCAUUAAUUUGGUGUCUUGGGGGAAUCAGGACUGUUACUUUGAAAAAUUUAGAGUGUUUAAAGCAAGCUCACCGCUUGAAUACAUUAGCAUGGAAUAAUGAAAUAGGACGUUUGAUUCUAUUUGUUGGUUUCUAGGAUCGACGUAAUGAUUAAUAGGGAUAGUUGGGGGCAUUAGUAUUCAAUUGUCAGAGGUGAAAUUCUUGGAUUUAUUGAAGACUAACUACUGCGAAAGCAUUUGCCAAGGAUGUUUUCAUUAAUCAAGAACGAAAGUUAGGGGAUCGAAGACGAUCAGAUACCGUCGUAGUCUUAACCAUAAACUAUGCCGACUAGGGAUCGGAUGAUGUUAAUUUUUAAUGACUC
rnacentral:rRNA from 1 species